UGCGGAAGGAUCAUUACCACACCUAAAAAACUUUCCACGUGAACCGUUUCAACCCAAUAGUUGGGGGUCUUAUUUGGCGGCGGCUGCUGGCUUAAUUGUUGGCGGCUGCUGCUGAGUGAGCCCUAUCAAAAAAAAGGCGAACGUUUGGGCUUCGGCCUGAUUUAGUAGUCUUUUUUUCUUUUAAACCCAUUCCUUAAUACUGAAUAUACUGUGGGGACGAAAGUCUCUGCUUUUAACUAGAUAGCAACUUUCAGCAGUGGAUGUCUAGGCUCGCACAUCGAUGAAGAACGCUGCGAACUGCGAUACGUAAUGCGAAUUGCAGGAUUCAGUGAGUCAUCGAAAUUUUGAACGCAUAUUGCACUUCCGGGUUAGUCCUGGAAGUAUGCCUGUAUCAGUGUCCGUACAUUAAACUUGACUUUCUUCCUUCCGUGUAGUCGGUGGAGGAGAUGUCAGAUGUGAAGUGUCUUGCGAUUGGUCUUCGGACCGGCUGCGAGUCCUUUUAAAUGUACUAAACUGAACUUCUCUUUGCUCGAAAAGUGGUGGCGUUGCUGGUUGUGAAGGCUGCUAUUGUGGCAAAUUGGCGACUGGUUUGUCUGCUGCGGCGUUAAUGGAAGAGUGUUCGAUUCGUGGUAUGGUUGGCUUCGGCUGAACAAUGCACUUAUUGGACGUUUUUCCUGCUGUGGCGUGAUGGACUGGUGAACCAUAGCUCGGUGGCUUGGCUUUUGAAUUGGCUUUGCUGUUGCGAAGUAGGGUGGCAGCUUCGGUUGUCGAGGGUCGAUCCAUUUGGGAACUUAAUGUGUACUUCGGUAUGCAUCUCAAUUGGACCUGAUAUCAGGCAAG
rnacentral:rRNA from 1 species